rnacentral:tRNA from 1 species
UAGCUCAGUGGUCAAAGCAUUGGUGCGUAAAGCCAAAGAUCCCGGGUUCGAUUCCCGG